rnacentral:sRNA from 1 species
ACUCCUGCGAAGGAUGUGGACACAAGUUUAUCACAAACAACUGAGCCCCACCCCAAACGCCGGCAGUUCAUUGAUGAACAAUCCCAAACCUAAUAUAAAGCGAGAUGUUUCCAAAGUUGACUUCCCCACUCAAUCCCUCCCCCGAACCUGAGAACCCAAUGGCGGUAUUACGCCGCCACGGCUUCAGGAAUUAGCGCGUACUCCUUUUCUCCGUUCUUCUCGAAUUCUGCCAUAUCAAGCGCAACGAUAACACUAUCCCUCACCACUUGUUCGGGAUCGUCUAAAAACUUCUUUAGUGUCUCCUCCACUCCUUCUUCAUCUCCAAGACUCCCAAGAGCUUCAGCAGCCUCAUGACGCACCAUACUGGCUUCCUUCAUAUUGUGGAGUGUGGCGGUGAGGCUGGGAAUACUAGCAGGAUGAGACAAUUGGCCAAAAACGAAUGCUAUCUCAUGUCGAAAGAGUGCCGAAGAGUCUUUGAACCCUUCUGCUAGAGCACAUACAGCUGGAACAGCGGUCGGAAGGUCUGGAGGUGAAGCAAGAUCUCGAAGAGCGAACAUCGCACGGUAUCUUUGGAAAAGCGGAAGGUUUGGGUCGAGGAGGGUACGUUCUAAAUCGGGGAUGGAUGGCUCAUCGGUGGCCAUUGGUAGUGGGGGGGCAGGGUCAAUUGAUGUAAAAUCACUUUAUAUAACAGCACCAAAUCCGUUAGCCAUGGGGAUAUAUUGUUAGUUAGGGAUGCGGUAUCUGUCUGCAGUUUUACCUUUGUUUUAGGUUCUCGGCUUUGCGUCGACCAGACAUUUCCCAUUCAAUCCUCUCCACAGCAAUGUCGCAAGUUUCCCUUACAACAUCAGGCUCGUUUUUAUCAUCCCUCAAAUUCCGUAGAAUAUCUAGGCUGUCUGAAUCACACAGCGCCCCUAGCGCCUCCGCCGCCUCAUGCCGACACAUCGGAUCCUCUCCUCGAUUCUCCAACACCUCCCGGAGAUAGGGAACUGCAGCUAAGUUUUUAGUCUGUCCCAAGCAGUAUGCAAGUUCAUGCUUUAAAAGAGCAGAUGGAGAUGAGAAUGCUGCAGCGAUCGCUUGGAUCGAAGGUAAACUCUGUUCUGUAGGCGGCUGGAGACAGGCGACAUGUUUCAGGGAGAAUAAGGCACGGAAUCGCCGUGCUAAAGGCUCACUUUCGGAGGUGUAUCCGUUGCGCCCGGCGACAUCUUACACAGUGGAAUAUAUUACCGUAGGUAUGGUUCCAGGAUCUGCAAUUCCUAACAUGAACAUUCGAAUAUCUUCACCCCA